rnacentral:rRNA from 1 species
AACCCUUGAUUUUAGUUGCCAGCAUUCAGUUGGGCACUCUAAGGUGACUGCCGGUGACAAACCGGAGGAAGGUGGGGAUGAAGUCAAAUCAUCAUGCCCCUUAUGACCUGGGCUACACACGUGCUACAAUGGACAGAACAAAGGGCAGCGAAACCGCGAGGUUAAGCCAAUCCCACAAAUCUGUUCUCAGUUCGGAUCGCAGUCUGCAACUCGACUGCGUGAAGCUGGAAUCGCUAGUAAUCGCGGAUCAGCAUGCCGCGGUGAAUACGUUCCCGGGCCUUGUACACACCGCCCGUCACACCACGAGAGUUUGUAACACCCGAAGUCGGUGAGGUAACCUUUUAGGAGCCAGCCGCCGAAGGUGGGACAGAUGAUUGGGGGAAGUCGAAUCGACGUGGGCG